AGUGGGGACAGCAGUACACUUACCUUCACGUGUGCUUGUCAUGAGGCUGAAAGAGCUCCCAGAGCAGAGCCUGGCUUGAUCAAUGUGAAUUGUGAUUAUCCCCACUUUACAGGAGGGGAGACUGAGGCCCAGAGAAGUCAGGUUACUUGGUCAAGGUCAUCCAGCUGUGAAGAGGAGGAGCUGAGUUCCAGAUCCAAGGCAGCUGGUUCUGGAGCCCUCUGUCUCAGCUGGACGCCGUCCCAGCUGAGCGCAAGCGUCAUAGUCUCCCUUCCGGCUUGGCCUCCAGCAGCCCUUCAGCCAGCUCCCACGUGGCCUUCCAGCUCUUUACAUGCCCUCUGGCUCUGUCUUCCGGGCGCUGAUCCGACUUUAGGGACACUGGUGUCCAGCUUGCCCAUGUGGCCAGUCCUUCCGACUGGUCACCCCUUCUACACACUUCCUUUGUUCUUGGCGGUCCAUCACCCAGAGGGAGUGCUUCAAACACUCAGAACAAUGGGAAACGCUAUUUCUACCCAGGCAAGAACAUGGCUCAGAUGGAUGUGCUGGGGCACACGCACCAGGAACCCCUGAGCAGGGUGCGAUCACUCACCAUUAAUGCUGGCAAGGAUCAAAGCGACUCGAAGAAAUACAGCUACUUAAGGAUGGACGAUAAAAUUGAAUUCAUGAAGCAGUUCCUUCUCCAUGGGUGAUUUCUUGGCGCUGAAGCACUGGAACUGCAUGCAGACUACGAGCGUAGAACUCCACACUGCAGUUAGCACACUUUAGAGAACAGGUAUUGAAUUUUAGCUGAGUUGAGCAUCAUCUUUUUCAAUUCCAAGGACAGCUGUUAAAUCAUGAAAUAUUUUGAGGUACAAAGCUCUUGCCUGUAAGAGAUCUUUUCUUUGUUCCUUUCAGAUCGACAUCCAUGAAAUAUUAUGUGAAGGAGUUGAUACCCUUAAAAACCAGAAACUAUUUACUCACUAGCUUCAAGUUCCUAAUAAGUCUUCUAAAAAUCAAUGAUAGGGGCCGGCGCUGUGGCACAGUGGGCUGGGCCUCCACCUGCAGUGGCAGCAACCCAUGUGAGCACGGGUUUGAGUCCUGGCUACUCCACUUCUGAUCAAGUUCUAUGCUAUGGCCUGGGAAAGCAGUAAAAGAUGACCCAAGUCCUUGGGCCUCUGCACCCACGUGGGAGACCUGGAAGAAGCUCCAGGCUCUUGGCUUCAAAUUGGCUCAGCUCCGGUUGUUGUGGCCAUUUUGGGGAGUGAAUAGUAGAUGGGAGACCUUCUCUCUCUCCCUCUCUCUCUUUGUAAUUCUACCUCUCAAAAUAAAAAAAACUUUAAAAAAAAAAAAAAAAACA
rnacentral:lncRNA from 1 species